UACAGAGGAUGCAAGCGUUAUCCGGAAUGAUUGGGCGUAAAGCGUCUGUAGGUGGCUUUUUAAGUCCGCCGUCAAAUCCCAGGGCUCAACUCUGGACAGGCGGUGGAAACUACCAAGCUGGAGUACGGUAGGGGCAGAGGGAAUUUCCGGUGGAGCGGUGAAAUGCGUAGAGAUCGGGAGGAACACCAAUGGCGAAGGCAGCUCGCUGGGACGUGACUGACGCUGAGACGCGAAAGCGUGGGGAGCAAACAGG
rnacentral:rRNA from 1 species